rnacentral:rRNA from 1 species
GGAAAGGUGAAAAGAACCCCGAACAGGGGAGUGAAAUAGAACCUGAAACCAUACGCUUACAACCUGUCGGAGCAGCUUCGUGCUGUGACGGCGUGCCUAUUGAAUAAUGAGCCUACGAGUUACUAAUCACUGGCGAGGUUAAGUGCACGGAUGCACGGAGCCGAAGCGAAAGCGAGUCUUAAUAGGGCGUUUAGUCAGUGGUUGUAGACGCGAAACCUUGCGAUCUACCCUUGAGCAGGUUGAAGGUUGGGUAAAACCAACUGGAGGACCGAACGAAUAAGCGUUGAAAAGCUUCUCGAUGACUUGAGGGUAGGGGUGAAAGGCUAAUCAAGCUGGGAAAUAGCUCGUACUCCCCGAAAUGCCUUUAGGGGCAGCGUUGUAAUAAAGAGUCUACUGGAGGUAGAGCUACUGAUUGGAUGCGGGGGCUUCACCGCCUACCAAAUCCUGACAAACUCCGAAUGCCAGUAGUAUGAUUUACAGCAGUGAGUGACUGGGUGCUAAUGUCCAGUCGCAAAAGAGGAACAACUCAGACCAGCAACUAAGGUCCCGAAGAAUAUGCUAAGUUGAUCUAACGAUGUUUUGUUGCAGAGACAGCUAGGAUGUUAGCUUGGAAGCAGCUAUUCAUUCAAAGAGUGCGUAACAGCUCACUAGUCGAGCGACAAAGCGUGGAUAAUAAACGGGCAUCAAGUAUACCACCGAAGUUCUGGGCACGAAAGUGCGGUAGGGGAGCAUUCCAUUCAGCGUCGAAGCCGAAUCGUGAGAUUUGGUGGAGCGUAUGGAAAAGCAAAUGUAGGCAUGAGUAACGAUAAUGCGGGAGAGUAACCCGCACACCGCAAGACCAAGGUUUCCUGAUCAACGCUAAUCGGAUCAGGGUUAGUCGGGUCCUAAGGGUAAGCCGAACGGUGAUCUCGAUGGAUAAUCGGUUAAUAUUCCGAUACUGACAUAUACCUCGAUGGAGAGACGAAGGAACGUAAGUGCCGCCACCUGACGGAAUAGGUGGUUAAAGGGCGUAGGUAUAGGGGCAGAUUAAGAGUUAGUCCUUGCUGAAACCUGACAGUACAGAGAGCCUACGGGCAAUUUGAUAGUGCACCCAAGUCGACUUCCGAGAAAAUCUUCUAAGUUAUAGUAUAUGUUACCCGUACCGUAAACCGACACAGGUGGUCGAGGAGAGUAUCCUAAGGUGCUCGAGUGAAUCACGGUUAAGGAACUAGGCAAAUUAACCCCGUAACUUCGGGAAAAGGGGUCCCUAUGAAAGUAGGGCGCAGCGAAGAGGUCCAGGCGACUGUUUAUCAAAAACACAGGGCUCUGCAAAUUCGAAAGAAGACGUAUAGGGCCUGACACCUGCCCGGUGCUGGAAGGUUAAGAGGGGAUGUCAUCGCAAGAGAAGCAUUGAAUCGAAGCCCCAGUAAACGGCGGCCGUAACUAUAACGGUCCUAAGGUAGCGAAAUUCCUUGUCGGGUAAGUUCCGACCUGCACGAAUGGUGUAACGAUCUGGACACUGUCUCAACCGUGAGCUCGGUGAAAUUGUAGUCCCGGUGAUGAUGCCGGGUACCCGCAACGGGACGAAAAGACCCCGUGAACCUUUACUAUAGCUUAACGCUGAAUUUGGGUACACAAUGUGUAGGAUAGGCAGGAGACUAUGAAGCGGGUACGCCAGUAUUCGUGGAGUCAACGUUGAAAUACUGCCCUUUGUGUAUUUGAGUUCUAACCCUCAAGAGGGGACACCGUUUGGUGGGUAGUUUGACUGGGGUGGUCGCCUCCAAAAGAGUAACGGAGGCUUCCCAAGGUACCCUCAGCACGAAUGGUAACCGUGCGUAGAGUGCAAUAGCAUAAGGGUGCUUGACUGUGAGACCAACAAGUCGAUCAGGUGCGAAAGCAGGGUAUAGUGAUCCGGUGGUUCUGCGUGGACUGGCCAUCGCUCAAAGGAUAAAAGGUACUCCGGGGAUAACAGGCUGAUCGCCGCCAAGAGCUCAUAUCGACGCGGCGGUUUGGCACCUCGAUGUCGGCUCGUCACAUCCUGGGGCUGGAGAAGGUCCCAAG